rnacentral:rRNA from 1 species
UACGGGGGAUGCAAGCGUUGUCCGGAAUCAUUGGGCGUAAAGAGUUCGUAGGUGGUUUGUUAAGUUUGGUGUUAAAUGCAGGGGCUCAACCUCUGUUCGGCACUGGAUACUGGCAGACUUGGAUGCGGUAGAGGUAAAGGGAAUUCCUGGUGUAGCGGUGAAAUGCGUAGAUAUCGGGAGGAACAUCGGAGGCGAAAGCGCUUUACUGGGCCGUAAUUGACACUGAGGAACGAAAGCCAGGGUAGCAAAU